CGUAGGGGGCAAGCGUUGUCCGGAAUCAUUGGGCGUAAAAGCGCGUGUAGGCGGCCAGAUAAGUCCGCUGUGAAAACUCGAGGCUCAACUUCGAGCUGUCGGUGAAACUAUCUGGCUAGAGUCCGGAAGAGGAAGAAUGGAAUUCCUGGUGUAGCGGUGAAAUGCGCAGAUAUCAGGAAGAACACCCGUGGCGAAGGCGGUUCUCUGGGACGGUACUAACGCUGAGACGCGAAAAGCGUGGGGGAGCGAACAGGAUUAGAUACCCUGGUAGUCCACGCCGUAAACGAUGGGUGCUAGGUGUGGGCGGUGUCGACUCCGUCCGUGCCGAAGCUAACGCAUUAAGCACCCCGCCUGGGGAGUACGGCCGCAAGGCUA
rnacentral:rRNA from 1 species